CCUACGGGAGGCUGCAGUAGGGAAUAUUGCACAAUGGGCGAAACCCUGAUGCAGCGACGCCGCGUGAGCGAUGAAGGAUUUCGGUAUGUAAAGCUCUGUCAGCAGGGAAGAACAUGACGGUACCUGACUAAGAAGCCCCGGCUAACUACGUGCCAGCAGCCGCGGUAAUACGUAGGGGCCAGGCGUUAUCCGGAUUUACUGGGUGUAAAGGGAGCGUAGACGGUGUUGCAAGAUAGAUGUGAAAGCCCGGGGCUCAACCCCGGGAACGCAUUUGGAGCUGUAAGGCUAGAGUGUAGGAGAGGCAGGUGGAAUUCCUAGUGUAGCGGUGAAAUGCGUAGAUAUUAGGAGGAACACCAGUGGCGAAGGCGGCCUGCUGGCUGGUGACUGACGUUGAGGCUCGAAAGCGUGGGGAGCAAACAGGAUUAGAUACCCGGGUAGUC
rnacentral:rRNA from 1 species